UAAUGCAAUGGUCUUUAAGUACGUACAAACCUAGUCUUUUAUAUUUUAGAAUCGGAGGGUGAACUGUUUGAUUCUUUAAAUCUGACUAGUUCGCAAUUGGAGGAUUUAAUAGCUGAAACAGAUUGUCUUUUUGAGAAUAAAAAUCCUGCCUCAGCCAAAGAGUCCCCAGAAACAGAAUACUCGACGCCUCCAAAGAGCGGGUUUUCUUCCGAAGUUUCCAGUCAGCAUCUAGAAUCGGCGCAAAGGCUCUCGGACAGUCUAUUAUUGAACAUCUCAUUCACGCCGCCCGAACCAGCCUCUCCUGGCUUACUGACU